rnacentral:rRNA from 1 species
CCUACGGGGGGCAGCAGUGAGGAAUAUUGGUCAAUGGACGAGAGUCUGAACCAGCCAAGUAGCGUGAAGGAUGACUGCCCUAUGGGUUGUAAACUUCUUUUAUAUGGGAAUAAAAUGUUCCACGUGUGGGAUUUUGUAUGUACCAUAUGAAUAAGGAUCGGCUAACUCCGUGCCAGCAGCCGCGGUAAUACGGAGGAUCCGAGCGUUAUCCGGAUUUAUUGGGUUUAAAGGGAGCGUAGGUGGAGUGUUAAGUCAGUUGUGAAAGUUGGCGGCUCAACCGUACAAUUGCAGUUGAAACUGGCAGUCUUGAGUACAGUAGAGGUGGGCGGAAUUCGUGGUGUAGCGGUGAAAUGCUUAGAUAUCACGAAGAACUCCGAUUGCGAAGGCAGUUCACUGGACUGCAACUGACACUGAGGCUCGAAAGUGUGGGUAUCAAACAGGAUUAGAUACCCGGGUAGUC